GACAGAGGGUGCAAACGUUGUUCGGAAUUACUGGGCGUAAAGCGAGUGUAGGCGGUUUGGUAAGUCGGAUGUGAAAGCCCUGGGCUCAACCCAGGAAGUGCACUCGAAACUCCCGAGCUCGAGUCCUGGAGAGGAAGGCGGAAUUCUCGGUGUAGAGGUGAAAUUCGUAGAUAUCGGGAAGAACACCUAUGGCGAAGGCAGCUCUCUGGGCCGAAACUGACGCUGAGGAGCGAAAGCGUGGGGAGCAAACAGG
rnacentral:rRNA from 1 species